rnacentral:rRNA from 1 species
MGAGUUUGAUCAUGGCUCAGGACGAACGCUGGCGGCGUGCCUAACACAUGCAAGUCGAACGGAGGUAGCAAUACCUCAGUGGCGAACGGGUGCGUAACACGUGAAGAACUUGUCCAUCGGCGGGGGAUAGCCGGCCCAACGGCCGGGUAAUACCGCGUACGCUUGUCGGGUGGCAUCAUCUGACAAGGAAAGCAGCAGUGCACCGAUGGAGAGCUUCGCGGCCUAUCAGCUAGUUGGCGGGGUAAUGGCCCACCAAGGCGACGACSGGUAGCUGGUCUGAGAGGAUGACCAGCCACAUUGGGACUGAGACACGGCCCAGACUCCUACGGGAGGCAGCAGUGGGGAAUAUUGCGCAAUGGGGGAAACCCUGACGCAGCGACGCCGCGUGUGGGAUGACGGCCUUCGGGUUGUAAACCACUGUCGGGAGGGACGAAAAAAAUGACGGUACCUCCAAAGGAAGCACCGGCUAACUCUGUGCCAGCCGCCGCGGUAAUACA